CGCCCGGAUAGCUCAGUCGGUAGAGCAGAGGAUUGAAAAUCCUCGUGUCGGUGGUUCGAUUCCGCCUCCGGGNNN
rnacentral:tRNA from 1 species